rnacentral:rRNA from 1 species
UACGUAGGGAGCAAGCGUUGUUCGGAUUUACUGGGCGUAAAGGGCGCGUAGGCGGCAGAUCAAGUCAGUUGUGAAAUCUCUGAGCUUAACUCAGAACUGUCAACUGAUACUGCUCUGCUAGAGUGCGGAAGGGGCAAUCGGAAUUCUUGGUGUAGCGGUGAAAUGCGUAGAUAUCAAGAGGAACACCUGAGGUGAAGACGGGUUGCUGGGCCGACACUGACGCUGAGGCACGAAAAGCGUGGGUAGCAAACAGG